rnacentral:rRNA from 1 species
CGUAGGGUGCAAGCGUUGUCCGGAAUUAUUGGGCGUAAAGAGCUCGUAGGCGGUUUGUCGCGUCUGCUGUGAAAACUCGGGGCUUAACCCCGGGCCUGCAGUGGGUACGGGCAGACUAGAGUGCGGUAGGGGAGACUGGAAUUCCUGGUGUAGCGGUGAAAUGCGCAGAUAUCAGGAGGAACACCGGUGGCGAAGGCGGGUCUCUGGGCCGUAACUGACGCUGAGGAGCGAAAGCGUGGGGAGCGAACAGGAUUAGAUACCCUGGUAGUCCACGCCGUAGACGUUGGGCGCUAGGUGUGGGGCUCUUUCCACGAGUUCCGUGCCGCAGCAAACGCAUUAAGCGCCCCGCCUGGGGAGUACGGCCGCAAGGCUA